rnacentral:rRNA from 1 species
AUUGAACGCUGGCGGCAUGCCUUACACAUGCAAGUCGAACGGUAGAGGGGCAACCCUCGAGAGUGGCGAACGGGUGAGUACUGCAUCGGAACGUGCCCAGUCGUGGGGGAUACCACUUCGAAAGAAGUGCUAAUACCGCAUACGACCUGAGUGUGAAAGCGGGGGACCGCAAGGCCUCGCGCGAUCAGAGCGUCCGAUGUCAGAUUAGGUAGUUGGUGGGGUAAGGGCCUACCAAGCCGACGAUCGGUAGCUGGUCUGAGAGGAUGAUCAGCCACACUGGGACUGAGACACGGCCCAGACUCCUACGGGAGGCAGCAGUGGGGAAUAUUGGACAAUGGGGGCAACCCUGAUCCAGCAAUGCCGCGUGUGUGAAGAAGGCCUGAGGGUUGUAAAGCACUUUCGGCGGGGAGGAGGGCAGAUUGGUUAAGAGCUGAUUUGUUGGACGUUACCCGCAUAAGAAGCACCGGCUAACUCCGUGCCAGCCGCCGCGGUAAAAC